AGUGAACGCUGGCGGUAGGCCUAACACAUGCAAGUCGAACGGCAGCACAGUAAGAGCUUGCUCUUACGGGUGGCGAGUGGCGGACGGGUGAGGAAUACAUCGGAAUCUACUUUGUCGUGGGGGAUAACGUAGGGAAACUUAUGCUAAUACCGCAUACGACCUACGGGUGAAAGCAGGGGAUCUUCGGACCUUGCGCGAUUGAAUGAGCCGAUGUCGGAUUAGCUAGUUGGUGGGGUAAAGGCCCACCAAGGCAACGAUCCGUAGCUGACCUGAGAGGAUGAUCGGCCACACUGGAACUGAGACACGGUCCAGACUCCUACGGGAGGCAGCAGUAGGGAAUCUUCCACAAUGGGCGAAAGCUUGACGGAGCAACGCCGCGUGAGUGAUGAAGGUCUUCGGAUCGUAAAACUCUGUUAUUAGGGAAGAACAAAUGUGUAAGUAACUAUGCACGUCUUGACGGUACCUAAUCAGAAAGCCACGGCUAACUACGUG
rnacentral:rRNA from 1 species